rnacentral:tRNA from 1 species
GCGUCGUUAGCUCAGCUGGUAGAGCAAGGGACUUUUAAUCCCGAGGUCCAUGGUUCGACUCCAUGACGAUGCACCA